rnacentral:rRNA from 1 species
GAUGAACGCUGGCGGCGUGCUUAACACAUGCCAGUCGAACGAUGAAGCCCAGCUUGCUGGGUGGAUUAGUGGCGAACGGGUGAGUAACACGUGAGUAACCUGCCCUUAACUCUGGGAUAAGCCUGGGAAACUGGGUCUAAUACCGGAUAGGAGCGUCCACCGCAUGGUGGGUGUUGGAAAGAUUUAUCGGUUUUGGAUGGACUCGCGGCCUAUCAGCUUGUUGGUGAGGUAAUGGCUCACCAAGGCGACGACGGGUAGCCGGCCUGAGAGGGUGACCGGCCACACUGGGACUGAGACACGGCCCAGACUCCUACGGGAGGCAGCAGUGGGGAAUAUUGCACAAUGGGCGCAAGCCUGAUGCAGCGACGCCGCGUGAGGGAUGACAGCCUUCGGGUUGUAAACCUCUUUCAGUAGGGAAGAAGCGAAAGUGACGGUACCUGCAGAAGAAGCACCGGCUAACUACGUG